UACGGGGGGGGCAAGCGUUGUUCGGAAUUACUGGGGGGAAAGGGCUCGUAGGUGGCCAACUAAGUCGGACGUGAAAUCCCUCAGCUUAACUGGGGAACUGCGUCCGAUACUGGAUGGCUUGAGUUUGGGAGAGGGAUGCGGAAUUCCAGGUGUAGCGGUGAAAUGCGUAGAUAUCUGGAGGAACACCGGUGGCGAAGGCGGCAUCCUGGACCAACACUGACACUGAGGAGCGAAAGCCAGGGGAGCAAACGGG
rnacentral:rRNA from 1 species